UAGCGACGGGCAACGCGGGCAAGAUGGCGGCACUGGUGGCGGCGGAGGCCGCGGCGCCUCCGGGCCCGGCCGAGGCGGCCGAGACGGCCGAGGCGGCGGAGCUGAGCCGCGCCCUGAGCCGCCUGCUGCCCGGGCUUGAGGCCGACAGCAAGCUGAGCCGGCGGCGCGCGCUCGAGGCGCUGCAGCGCGCAAUCGAGGCGGCGUGGCCCGAGGAGCCCGCCGCCGAGUCCGCCGCCGCGGCCGCAGGCUUCCAGGGCCCGUGGGCGCGCCUGCUGCUGCCGCGCCUGCUGCGCUGCCUGGCCGACCCGGCGGAGGGCUGCCGCGCGCUGGCGGCGCACUUGCUGGGCCUGGGCCUGCGGCGCGCCGCGCGGCCCCGCGACGCCCUGCCGCGCCUGCUGCCGGCGCUGGUCGCGCGCCUGGCCGGCCCCGAGUCCGAGCGCGGCCGGCCGCCCGAGACCUGCGAGGAGCUGCGCUUGGCGCUCGUGCAGCUGCUCGGCCUGGCCGUGCGCCUGGGCGGCGCCGCGCUCGCGCCCCACCUGGACGACGCCGUGAGGGUGCUGCGCUGCACGCUGCUCGACCCGUUCGCCGCCGUGCGCCGCGAGAGCUGCCAGUGCGCCGCCAGCCUGGCGCGCGCCACGCCAGACCACUUCCACAUGCAGUCGGAGUCCUUGAUCGGCCCCCUGAUGCAGAGCAUCUCACACCAGCACUGGAAGGUGCGGGUGGCUGUCAUCGAGGCCACCGGCUCUGUGAUCCAGUUUGGCAGCGGGAAGUCGGUGGACGACGUCCUCCCUCACUUUGCUCAGAGGCUCUUCGAUGACGUCCCCCAGGUGCGGCAGGCGGUGACUUGUGUGGUGGGGGGCUGGCUGCUGGACCUGCGGGACCGCUACUCCUUCUUCCACAAGCUGAUCCCGCUGUUGCUUAGCAACCUCGAGGACGACAUCCCUGAGAUCGCGCUCGCAGCCGCCAGCCUCUGGGAGAAGGUGGGCCUGCAGUGGCAGAGGGAGAACGAAGACGACCUCAAAGAUAAGCUGGACUUCGCCUCGCCCCCUCCAGCCCACCACCCCUCGCCAGACAACCGCCCCGGGUUGGGCUGUCGGGAGCUCGUCUUCAGAAACCUCUCCAAGAUCCUUCCCGCCAUCUGUCAUGACGUCACGGACUGGGUGGCGGGGACCAGGGUGAAGGCCGCGCAGCUGCUGGCCGUGCUGCUGCUGCACGCCGAGGACCACGUCACGCAGCACCUGGAGGUCGUCCUGCGAACCCUGCGCCGGGCCUGUGCCGACGACGACAGGGCCGUGGUCCGCAGCUGCAUCCGAUCUGCCGAGCUGGUCGGGGCGUUCGUCAGCCCGGAGGUGUUUCUGAAGCUGGUUCUGCCCGCGCUGAAGAAGUCGCCCUCCCCCUCGGGCCUCCUGAUCCUUGCGUCCAUCGUCAGAGGCUGCCCUAGGGAGGCCCUCCGGCCGCACCUGACGCUCGUCGCUACGGAGCUGGCCCGGCCCCACAUCUGUCAAGGCUCUGAAAAUCACCUCUACGGGGAGCACCUGCUGCUGUGCGUGCGGACUCUGGUCUCCGUGUGCCGCGAAGACUGCAGACGGUGCAGCUUACAGCUCUUGGAGGUGCUGGUGACCAUAGAGGCGCUCUGGGGUGCCACAGACCUCGGCGACAAGGUCCGGGAGACCAUGGACGCGCUGGCCGCGGCACAGGACAUGGACGGCCGCCAGGAUCUGUACCGGGAGCACGCGGGCCCCCUCGUGGAGUGGCUCGCCGCGUCGCACCACGACUGGACCGUCCACUCAGCAGAGCUUCUGCAGUUCGUCGUGGUGGUCAACCACGCAGGCCCGGCGCUGGGAGAAGUCCUCCCCCACCUGGUGCCCGUCCUCAGGAGCUGCCUCCAGCCCGCCCGGGACCCGCAGAUGCGCCUGCGGCUCUUCCCCUCCCUGUCGCGGGUGCUGCUGAGCGCAAAGCAGACGGUCGACUCCCAGGGGCACUUUCACCACUACCUCGACACUGUGACGAAGGACAUCUUGGUCCCCAAUCUGCAGUGGCACGCAGGGAAGACGGCUGCAGCCAUCCGCACGGCAGCCGUGUCCUGCCUCUGGGCGCUCAUCAGCAGUGAGGUCCUGUCGGACGAGCAGAUCCGGAAAGUUCAGGAGACGCUGAUGCCGCAGAUUCUAACCUCCCUGGAAGAAGAUUCCCAGAUGACUCGAUUAAUUUCGUGCCAAAUCAUCAACACAUUUCUAAAGACCUCCGGUGGUGUGGCUGAUGCCGAUAAGCUCAUCAAGGUUUAUCCUGAGCUCCUGAAGCGUCUGGACGACGUCUCCCAUGAAGUGAGGCUCGCGGCCACCUCCGCCUUGGUCACGUGGCUGGCGUGUGUCAGAAGCGACGACGAUGUGAAGUCCUGCUACCAGAGCCACAUUCAGUUCCUGUACAGAGAGCUCCUCGUGUACCUCGAUGACCCGGACAGCACUGUCCAGGAUGCGGUUUUAGAGGUCCUCAAAGCAGGCAGUGUCCUGUUCCCUGAGCUCCUGGCUAGAGAGACAGAGGCUGUCAUCCACAAGCACCGCUCUCCUGCCCUCUGCCAGCAGCUGCUACAGCACCUGCAGGCCCAGCCGCCUGCCCAGUGAGCAGCAGCCAGCGCGGAGCGAGCCCCGAGCUCCCGUCCUCGCCGGGGCCGGGGCCGGGGCCUCUCCACCUCGCAACACGGCACCUUUGUGUCAACGACCUAGGACACUCACAGGCAAGACUUUGAUAGCAAGAGCAUUGCAGGAAACGUGUGGUGUGCAAGAUUCCCCCAAGACACUUCUCGGGCCCGGCAGUUUCUGAAGUAACAUUCGCUGAGCGGCUUCUGUGCUGUCAUGUCUCAUUUAUUACAGCCCGUUGACAGAUCUCCCCAAAAUCUGCGGGUAAUUUGAAAGUAGAACGAGAUGGCACCUGCUCACCCUGGCAGCCAAAGCAUCCUGUUUGUUUCAAAGCUACGUGCACCUGCUACGCUCGUGGAUCUCAUCUCCCGGCGACCCCCGCCCCGAGAUCUGGGUGGUGGGCCCCAGGCUCUCCCACUGCUCGGUGCAGUGUCCUCUCUGGACACCAGGUGGCAGGAGCUCCAAACCCCGUCACGAGGCCGGCCGCCAAGCUCCUGGGGCCCUCCGCGGGCGCGCCUGAGUGUGCAGCGCAGGCAGGGAAAGCGGGCCUGGAGAGGCAGCGGGAUCCAAACCACGCCGGCCGCCAGGGAGAGGCAGGACGUUGUUUCUGCACAUCUUCAAGGGGAAGUGUGCAGAGGCAGCAGGACAGUGAGUCAGUACCACUCGUGUGACAUGAGCAGGUGUGUGUCCAGAGAAAGACACAGAGGCUCAGCUGACGGGGUUAGCGAUCUAAGUGCCUGAGAACCGACGUGUCCUUGGCAAGUGUUAUGCACUCUUCGCUCAACUCCUCAAAUGUUCAUGGAGCCCUACCCUCCCUGUGCUGGUGGCCGAAGACAGGGACACGUAGAAUUUGGUCCCUGAGGGGUGUCUGGGGGUCUCAGCCAGUUAAGCGUCCAACUCUUGAUUUCGGUUCAGGUCAUGAUCUCACAGUUUGUGGGAUCGAGCCCCGCAUUGGGCUCAGUGCUGACGGUGUAGAGCCUGCUUGGGAUCCUCUGUCUCUCUUUCUCUCUCUGCCCCUCCCCUUUUAGCACUCUCCCUCUCUCUCUCAA